rnacentral:rRNA from 1 species
AUUGAACGCUGGCGGCAUGCUUUACACAUGCAAGUCGAACGGUAACAGGCCGCAAGGUGCUGACGAGUGGCGAACGGGUGAGUAAUGCAUCGGAACGUGCCCAGUCGUGGGGGAUAACGCAGCGUAAGCUGCGCUAAUACCGCGUACGAUCUAUGGAUGAAAGCGGGGGACCGUAAGGCCUCGCGCGAUUGGAGCGGCCGAUGUCAGAUUAGGUAGUUGGUGGGGUAAAGGCUCACCAAGCCAACGAUCUGUAGCUGGUCUGAGAGGACGACCAGGCACACUGGGACUGAGACACGGCCCAGACUCCUACGGGAGGCAGCAGUGGGGAAUUUUGGACAAUGGGCGCAAGCCUGAUCCAGCAAUGCCGCGUGCAGGAAGAAGGCCUUCGGGUUGUAAACUGCUUUUGUACGGAACGAAACGGCUCUGGUUAAUACCUGGGGCUAAUGACGGUACCGUAAGAAUAAGCACCGGCUAACUACGUGCCAGCCGCCGCCGUAA